GGGUUGUGAGGUUAAGCGACUAAGCGUACACGGUGGAUGCCCUGGCAGUCAGAGGCGAUGAAGGACGUGCUAAUCUGCGAUAAGCGUCGGUAAGGUGAUAUGAACCGUUAUAACCGGCGAUUUCCGAAUGGGGAAACCCAGUGUGUUUCGACACACUAUCAUUAACUGAAUCCAUAGGUUAAUGAGGCGAACCGGGGGAACUGAAACAUCUAAGUACCCCGAGGAAAAGAAAUCAACCGAGAUUCCCCCAGUAGCGGCGAGCGAACGGGGAGCAGCCCAGAGCCUGAAUCAGUGUGUGUGUUAGUGGAAGCGUCUGGAAAGGCGCGCGAUACAGGGUGACAGCCCCGUACACAAAAAUGCACAUGCUGUGAGCUCGAUGAGUAGGGCGGGACACGUGGUAUCCUGUCUGAAUAUGGGGGGACCAUCCUCCAAGGCUAAAUACUCCUGACUGACCGAUAGUGAACCAGUACCGUGAGGGAAAGGCGAAAAGAACCCCGGCGAGGGGAGUGAAAAAGAACCUGAAACCGUGUACGUACAAGCAGUGGGAGCCUCUUUAUGGGGUGACUGCGUACCUUUUGUAUAAUGGGUCAGCGACUUAUAUUCUGUAGCAAGGUUAACCGAAUAGGGGAGCCGAAGGGAAACCGAGUCUUAACUGGGCGUUAAGUUGCAGGGUAUAGACCCGAAACCCGGUGAUCUAGCCAUGGGCAGGUUGAAGGUUGGGUAACACUAACUGGAGGACCGAACCGACUAAUGUUGAAAAAUUAGCGGAUGACUUGUGGCUGGGGGUGAAAGGCCAAUCAAACCGGGAGAUAGCUGGUUCUCCCCGAAAGCUAUUUAGGUAGCGCCUCGUGAAUUCAUCUCCGGGGGUAGAGCACUGUUUCGGCAAGGGGGUCAUCCCGACUUACCAACCCGAUGCAAACUGCGAAUACCGGAGAAUGUUAUCACGGGAGACACACGGCGGGUGCUAACGUCCGUCGUGAAGAGGGAAACAACCCAGACCGCCAGCUAAGGUCCCAAAGUCAUGGUUAAGUGGGAAACGAUGUGGGAAGGCCCAGACAGCCAGGAUGUUGGCUUAGAAGCAGCCAUCAUUUAAAGAAAGCGUAAUAGCUCACUGGUCGAGUCGGCCUGCGCGGAAGAUGUAACGGGGCUAAACCAUGCACCGAAGCUGCGGCAGCGACGCUUAUGCGUUGUUGGGUAGGGGAGCGUUCUGUAAGCCUGUGAAGGUGUGCUGUGAGGCAUGCUGGAGGUAUCAGAAGUGCGAAUGCUGACAUAAGUAACGAUAAAGCGGGUGAAAAGCCCGCUCGCCGGAAGACCAAGGGUUCCUGUCCAACGUUAAUCGGGGCAGGGUGAGUCGACCCCUAAGGCGAGGCCGAAAGGCGUAGUCGAUGGGAAACAGGUUAAUAUUCCUGUACUUGGUGUUACUGCGAAGGGGGGACGGAGAAGGCUAUGUUGGCCGGGCGACGGUUGUCCCGGUUUAAGCGUGUAGGCUGGUUUUCCAGGCAAAUCCGGAAAAUCAAGGCUGAGGCGUGAUGACGAGGCACUACGGUGCUGAAGCAACAAAUGCCCUGCUUCCAGGAAAAGCCUCUAAGCAUCAGGUAACAUCAAAUCGUACCCCAAACCGACACAGGUGGUCAGGUAGAGAAUACCAAGGCGCUUGAGAGAACUCGGGUGAAGGAACUAGGCAAAAUGGUGCCGUAACUUCGGGAGAAGGCACGCUGAUAUGUAGGUGAAGCGACUUGCUCGUGGAGCUGAAAUCAGUCGAAGAUACCAGCUGGCUGCAACUGUUUAUUAAAAACACAGCACUGUGCAAACACGAAAGUGGACGUAUACGGUGUGACGCCUGCCCGGUGCCGGAAGGUUAAUUGAUGGGGUUAGCGGUAACGCGAAGCUCUUGAUCGAAGCCCCGGUAAACGGCGGCCGUAACUAUAACGGUCCUAAGGUAGCGAAAUUCCUUGUCGGGUAAGUUCCGACCUGCACGAAUGGCGUAAUGAUGGCCAGGCUGUCUCCACCCGAGACUCAGUGAAAUUGAACUCGCUGUGAAGAUGCAGUGUACCCGCGGCAAGACGGAAAGACCCCGUGAACCUUUACUAUAGCUUGACACUGAACAUUGAGCCUUGAUGUGUAGGAUAGGUGGGAGGCUUUGAAGUGUGGACGCCAGUCUGCAUGGAGCCGACCUUGAAAUACCACCCUUUAAUGUUUGAUGUUCUAACGUUGACCCGUAAUCCGGGUUGCGGACAGUGUCUGGUGGGUAGUUUGACUGGGGCGGUCUCCUCCUAAAGAGUAACGGAGGAGCACGAAGGUUGGCUAAUCCUGGUCGGACAUCAGGAGGUUAGUGCAAUGGCAUAAGCCAGCUUGACUGCGAGCGUGACGGCGCGAGCAGGUGCGAAAGCAGGUCAUAGUGAUCCGGUGGUUCUGAAUGGAAGGGCCAUCGCUCAACGGAUAAAAGGUACUCCGGGGAUAACAGGCUGAUACCGCCCAAGAGUUCAUAUCGACGGCGGUGUUUGGCACCUCGAUGUCGGCUCAUCACAUCCUGGGGCUGAAGUAGGUCCCAAGGGUAUGGCUGUUCGCCAUUUAAAGUGGUACGCGAGCUGGGUUUAGAACGUCGUGAGACAGUUCGGUCCCUAUCUGCCGUGGGCGCUGGAGAACUGAGGGGGGCUGCUCCUAGUACGAGAGGACCGGAGUGGACGCAUCACUGGUGUUCGGGUUGUCAUGCCAAUGGCACUGCCCGGUAGCUAAAUGCGGAAGAGAUAAGUGCUGAAAGCAUCUAAGCACGAAACUUGCCCCGAGAUGAGUUCUCCCUGACUCCUUGAGAGUCCUGAAGGAACGUUGAAGACGACGACGUUGAUAGGCCGGGUGUGUAAGCGCAGCGAUGCGUUGAGCUAACCGGUACUAAUGAACCGUGAGGCUUAACCUUACAACGCCGAAG
rnacentral:rRNA from 1 species